UAUUGCUUAGAUGUCUAGUCUAGUCUC
rnacentral:sRNA from 1 species